UAUAUAUAUAUAUAUAUAUAUGGCUGUCUAUGGAAUUAUGCAAUUCGAGUCCAGCUGAAACCUAAACGCAGCUUAUUAUAUUUAAAGCUCUGUUUUAGGGUAUAAAAGAAAUGGCAUCACUCAAGGCUGAAAAACCAGCUACUGGUUCUCAACCAGCUGCACUCAAGAAAGAGCCAGCCAAAUCUAGCAGUGCACCCAAAGCUCCAGCCUCCAAAACUAGUAGCGCACCGAAAACAAGUAGUGCACCCAAAGCUGAGCAGAAACCCCGGGAGCCUAGGAAGAAGGCAACCGGAAGGCCAGCAACAAAAUGAGGAGAUGAAUGUGAAGAAACCAUGAAUUAGUUGUUUUAAUUCGUGGUAGUUAAUUCAUAUCUAUAAUAUGGAUUUCAAUAUAUACAUCUGCUCGUUUGCUACUUACAUGCAGUGUUCUCCUUUUAUAGGCUUUGCCUAAUAAAUAAAAUGCGUACUUAAAUUUGUGUUAUUGCUUAA